GACGAACGCUGGCGGCGUGCUUAACACAUGCAAGUCGAGCGGGGAACUUCGGUUCCCAGCGGCGGACGGGUGAGUAACACGUGGGUAACCUGCCUUACAGUGGGGAAUAGCCUUCCGAAAGGAAGAUUAAUAUCGCAUAAUACUCAGAGAUCACAUGAUCUUUGAGCCAAAGGAUUUAUUCGCUGUAAGAUGGACCCGGGGCGCAUUAGCUUGUUGGUGAGGUAACGGCUCACCAAGGCUUCGAUGCGUAGCCGACCUGAGAGGGUGAUCGGCCACAUUGGAACUGAGACACGGUCCAGACUCCUACGGGAGGCGGCAGUGGGGAAUAUUGCACAAUGGAGGAAACGCUGAUGCAGCAACGCCGCGUGAGUGAUGAAGGUCUUCGGAUCGUAAAACUCUGUCUUAUGGGACGAUAAUGACGGUACCAUAGGAGGAAGCCACGGCUAACUACGUGCCAGCAGCCGCAGUAA
rnacentral:rRNA from 1 species